rnacentral:rRNA from 1 species
AACGAACGCUGGCGGCAGGCUUAACACAUGCAAGUCGAACGCCCCGCAAGGGGAGUGGCAGACGGGUGAGUAACGCGUGGGAAUCUACCCAUCCCUACGGAACAACUCCGGGAAACUGGAGCUAAUACCGUAUACGCCCUUAGGGGGAAAGAUUUAUCGGGGAUGGAUGAGCCCGCGUUGGAUUAGCUAGUUGGUGGGGUAAAGGCCUACCAAGGCGACGAUCCAUAGCUGGUCUGAGAGGAUGAUCAGCCACAUUGGGACUGAGACACGGCCCAAACUCCUACGGGAGGCAGUAGUUGGGAAUAUUGGACAAUGGGCGCAAGCCUGAUCCAGCCAUGCCGCGUGAGUGAUGAAGGCCUUAGGGUUGUAAAGCUCUUUCACCGAUGAAGAUAAUGACGGUAGUCGGAGAAGAAGCCCCGGCUAACUUCGUGCCAGCAGCCGCCGUAACAC